rnacentral:lncRNA from 1 species
UGUUGAUAGUUGAGUGACGGGAAAAAGUUGUAGUAAUGCGAAGUUUUAAAUCAUAGGCAAUAAAUUGAAUUGUGAUGAAUAAAACAAAAGAAAUGUACGGAGUUAAAAAAGAAUGCUUUAUAUCCGAAGUAAAUUUGUUUUCUCAACAAAUAUCAGAAGAUAAUGAUAAAGUAAAAGCGACAGAAGAAUUGUCACUGUUAUUAUUUAAAAUUUUUGGAGACAUGUAUCGUGAGGUUAAUUAUCUCGAAAAACUACAGUACAUAUUAAAAAGGCAGAAACGUGUUAAAGAUAAAGAAGAAUUCUGUAAAGCAUUUGUUAAAAAUUGUAUUUCAACAAAAAGUAACGAACAGUUUUAAGUCAAGAUUGAAGUACUGUAAUUGAAAUAAUUUGGUUCUGUAAAUUUUUAUCAAAAUUUAGAAGAAAAUAUAUAGAAAAUUAGUUGCAAG